rnacentral:rRNA from 1 species
GACGAACGCUGGCGGCGUGCUUAACACAUGCAAGUCGAACGAUGAAGCCGGAGCUUGCUCUGGUGAAUUAGUGGCGAACGGGUGAGUAACACGUGAGUAACCUGCCCUUGACUCUGGGAUAACUGCUAGAAAUGGUAGCUAAUACCGGAUACGACCCUCGGAGGCAUCUCCAGGGGGUGGAAAGAAUUUCGGUCAAGGAUGGACUCGCGGCCUAUCAGCUAGUUGGUGAGGUAACGGCUCACCAAGGCGACGACGGGUAGCCGGCCUGAGAGGGUGACCGGCCACACUGGGACUGCGACACGGCCCAGACUCCUACGGGAUGCAGCAGUGGGGAAUAUUGCACAAUGGGCGCAAGCCUGAUGCAGCAACGCCGCGUGAGGGAUGACGGCCUUCGGGUUGUAAACCUCUAUUAGUAGGGAAGAAGCGAAAGUGACGGUACCUGCAGAAAAAGCACCGGCUAACUACGUGCCAGCAGCCGCGGUAA